rnacentral:rRNA from 1 species
CAGUAGCCGCGGGAAUACGAAGGGGGCUAGCGUUGUUCGGAUUUACUGGGCGUAAAGGGCGCGUAGGCGGGCUGAUAAGUCGGGGGUGAAAUCCCAAGGCUCAACCUUGGAACUGCCUUUGAUACUGUUGGUCUUGAGUCCGGGAGAGGUGAGUGGAACUGCGAGUGUAGAGGUGAAAUUCGUAGAUAUUCGCAAGAACACCAGUGGCGAAGGCGGCUCACUGGCCCGGAACUGACGCUGAGGCGCGAAAGCGUGGGGAGCAAACAGGAUUAGAUACCCCAGUAGUCCCUGUCUCUUAUAC